rnacentral:rRNA from 1 species
GGAGGAAUAUUGGGCAAUGGACGAAAGUCUGACCCAGCAACGCCGCGUGAAGGAUGAAGGCCUUCGGGUCGUAAACUUCUUUUGAGGGAGACGAGAAAGGACGGUAUCCCUCGAAUAAGCCACGGCUAACUACGUGCCAGCAGCCGCGGUAAAACGUAGGUGGCGAGCGUUAUCCGGAUUCAUUGGGCGUAAAGAGCUUGUAGGUGGUGCGAUAAGUUGGACGUGAAAACUCCGGGCUUAACUUGGAGAGGCCGUUCAAUACUGUUGUGCUAGAGGGCGUCAGAGGGAAGUGGAAUUCCUGGUGUAGCAGUGAAAUGCGUAGAUAUCAGGAGGAACAUCCGUGGCGAAGGCGGCUUCCUGGGGCGCACCUGACACUGAGAAGCGAAAGCUAGGGGAGCAAACGGGAUUAGAAACCCCGGUAGUCCUAGCUGUAAACGAUGGAUGCUAGGUGUGAGUGGGUCUAACCCCGCUCGUGCCGAAGCUAACGCGUUAAGCAUCCCGCCUGGGAACUACGAGCGCAAGCUUAAAACUCAAAUGAAUUGACGGGGUCAUAGCUGUUUCCU